UUCAGUGACUAUGGACUGUUACUGCUCCCUUGAGGAAAUACGGAGUGUGCUACAAUGUGAUGAAAGUGCGUCAUAAGAGUUGUCAGUUGUUGUUACAAAUCCAUGGAGUGCAGAGCGCACAAGAGUUUUCCUCAUUUCCUUAAGAGUGGUGUUAUUUAAUCGUGUGCGUGGAUCUAAAAUUGUUUGUAGAACCACACAAACACCCACAUGUUUGCAUAUGCAAAUGCAAAUAAAUCUUCAGUGAAGCAAGAAGCAUCUUGGUUGCGUUUUGACCAGACGUACCACAGUGAUUAAUUCAACCCAAACCACAGGACCAAGGACAACCAGCUGAUGUGCGUCCUAAGCAUUGAAUACAGCCUCCAGCCUGGUUAAAGGAUUAUGAGGUUUCUCUCCGCCCGCUAUCACCAAAAGUCUCCAGCUGCACAUACAGUUCUUCAUCCAAGAGAUUUACAGAAGCCUCACACUGAAAGGAUAGCCGAGAUGACCCCUCUCACUUAUCAGCCACUGAGCGAAUAUGCCACCAGCACAGACCAGAGAUUCAUAAACCGCUCAGUAUUCAUCUAACCAAGAUAUCAGAGCACACCUGUAUCUCACCCAGUCACAAAGGAGGAUGUAUUAGAGCUGAAGAUCUUUGCCAGGUUCAGGCUUAAUUUAUAUAAUUUUACACAGGCUCGGGCCAGGCACAGGCUUGCGCUCCGGCUUGCACGGUAAAUUAGCGGUCAUGUGAUGCGUUUCGAUUACGUUUUGGCAAAAUUUACAAAACUUGCAAAAUCAGCCAGAUCAGUACUAUGCAUCCUGGCCAGUAGCAGCAGCAGUGAAAGGGUGUUCAGCGCAUCAGGGAGCACCGGACCGCGCUAAAGCCAUAUACCGUGGAUUCAAUGAAUUUCCAACACAAAAACAUGUAGCCUAAUCUUGCUGCUAUUCACCGUCGCGUUGAUGCCGGAUUGUGGAGAGAAGUAAUGAAGCAAAUCCCACCGAGUCUUUAUCUUAAUUUCAUUAUUGCCAAAUACCCAUCUUAAUUUAGAAUUUAUUUGUUAAGAAAGACUCAUUUUUAUUGGCUCGUUGGCCUAGUGUAUGCCUAGGCCUAUUUAGAGUGCUGAGAUGUAACGAUG